AAAAAAAAAAAAAAAAAAAAAAAAAAUAUUGCUGGCUACAUGCCGAUAAGUAGGACGAAGGGAGCAUUCUUAAGAGAAACUUGGCACCAUAAGUACAGAUUAAGGCAGAGGACAUUCAAAAGAGAUAGGCAGGUGCAGUAGGUACAGACGUGACCACCAUGAGACCUUCCUGAGAUGGCAGGAAGGAGCCCAGUCCCCGAGUGGAUUUGGAUUGAUCACCGCACAUGUGCCCCAACCAACAGUGAGGGGGUCCCACAAGCCCAAGUGGGGAAAGUUAGGGAUCUAAGGCAGGAGCAGGAAAACCAGACAAAGAAAACAGGUGGAGACUUGAGACAGAGGCAUGAAUGUGAAGAAACCCAAAUUAAAAUUUCCUGCACAGGACACUUGGCCUGUUUUCCUGCACAAUCAGCCCACUCUUCCCUUGGGUCCUACCUAUUUUUUUCUACAAUAAGCUGUUUACACUGUAUUUAUUUUCAAUGAAGUUAUCUGCCAUCUUUGUACUGCCUCCUGGUGAAAAUCUUUCUUCCAAGUUAGACAAGAACUGGGACAACAGCUCUCUCCAGCGACAGCUCCUUUUGAGUUUGAAUUUCCCAAACUGAUGGCGCUGAAUUACUGGUGCUCCGACUUUAAGUGGUGCAGAAAGAGUUGCAGCAUUACCUGGAAAGAAGCUAAAGCUGGGUGGUUUCAAUAUGGCCGAUUAGGAACAGCUCCAGGCUACAACUCCCAGCGUGAGUGACACAGAAGACAGGUGAUUUCUGCAUUUCCAACUGAGGUACCGGGUUCAUCUCGCUGGGGCGCAUUUGACAGUGGGUGCUGGACAGUGGGUGCAGCCCACCGAGCAAGAGCCGAAGCAGGGUGACGUGUUGCCUUACCCAGGUAGUGCAAGGGGUAAGGGAAUUCCCUUUCCUAGCCAAGGGAAUCCCUGACACACAACACCUGGAAAUUCGGGUCACUCCCACCUAAUACUGUGCUUUUCCAAGGAUCUUAGCAAACUGCACACUAGGAGAUUAUAUCCUGCACCUAUCUUGGAGGAUUCCAUGCCCACGGAGCUUCGCUCAUUGCUAGCACAGCAGUCUGAGAUCUAACUGCAAGGCAGCAGCGAGGCUGGGGGAGGGGUGCCCGCCAUUGCUGAGGCUUGAGCAGAUAAACAAAGUGACCGGGAAGCUCUAACAGGGUAGAGCCCACCGCAGCUCAAGGAGGCCUGUCUGCCUCUGUAGACUCCACCUCUGGGGACAGAGCAUAGCCAAACAAAAGUGUGCACAAACCUCUGCAGAUUUAAAUGUCCCUGUCUGACAGCUUUGAGGAGAGUAGUGGUUCUCCCAGCACGGAGUUUGAGAUCUGAGAACGGACAGACUGCUUCCUCGAGUGGGUCCCUGAGCCCCGAGAAGCCUAACUGGGAGGCAUCCCCCAGUAGGGGCCGACUGACUCCUCACACAGCCAGGUGCCCCUCUGAGAUGAAACUUCCAGAGGGACAACCAGGCAGCAACAUUUGCUGUUCAGCAAUAUUCACCAUUCUGCAGCCUCUGUGGCUGAUACCCAGGCAAACAGGGUCUGGAGUGGACCUCCAGCAAACUCCAACAGACCUGCAGCUGAGGAUCCUGACUGUUAGAAGGAAAACUAACAAACAGAAAGGACAUCCACACCAAAACCCCAUCUUUACGUCACCAUCAUCAAAGACCAAAGGUAGAUAAAACCAUCUUUUCUCAUUGGUUAAUGGCCAUCCUGUGUCCGUAAUGAUGGUUAGUGUCCACGAUAAAAAUUUCAAAUAUAAUUAUAUUUUGUGGCUAAUAAGUUGUAACAUUGAAUUAGCACUAAGAAUCUUCCUGCCAUGAAGUCAGUUGUGUGUUCUCUGCAUUCCCUGACCCUCACUUUUUGUGUAAAGUUUUGUGUAUUACCUGAUGAAUAGAACAAAACUUGUUUGUGCCCAUUUAACAGGUAAUUCAUGUUUUCAAAAGAUAAGCAUUAUCUUUCUUUUAUCACUUCUAAUAAUUCAACUCUGUAGUCCUGAUCAGUGUGGCUUACAAACUGGAAGACUAAAGACAUUUUUAAAAACCUAAUAGCUAAGUUAGUUUUUGAAGCUAUUAAUAUUGCUAAAAUUAUUGCUAUAGAAAAGAGAAAAGAGCAUGUUGAAUAGAACUCUGUUAUUAGAGAUUUUUCCUGAAAAAGUCACAUGUUAUUUCUUCUCACCUCCACUGGCACCAAAAAAAAAAAAAAAAGAAAAGAAAAGAAAAAGCUAUAUGGUCUUGCAAAACUUUAAGCAGGUGGGUUGGAAUGGGCCAGAAGUAUGGUUAGAGGUGGGGUCAUGGUCAGGGUCAAGAUCAGAGUCAGGGUCAAAGUCAGGGUCAGAAUUAGGGACCAGGGUAGGGAUCAGGGUUUAGGGUUAGGGUCAAAGUCUAGAGACAGGAUUGGGGUUAGGAUUAGAACCAGAGAUUUGUUCUCCUCAGGACCCACCAGAGAAGAGGCCAUGACUUUGGAGCACCUGGUAGUGUGUCCACAGUGAAGACUAGAGUUUCAUUGUCCUCAAGACUGACCUGGGGAGACGUGGCUGUGGGCCAGUGAGGAACGUGAGGCAAAAGCUUCCUGUCUGCUCCCUGGGUGCUAAAGGGAGCUCUGCCAUGGGCUUUACUUCACACGUUAUAUCCUGCAAAUCUUGUUUUACAAAAGCAUCCCUUCCUCGAGGCUUUGGUUGCUCAUCAUCACAGCGUGUCAUAACAUAUGGUAAGAUUUGGGUUUGCUUCAGCGGGGAGAUCUUGGUACAGAGAAAGGAGCAAUGCUUAGAGCCACCUCAGGACAGUUGGGAUGAAAGCUGGGGAUGGGUGGAGGCUGGAGGAAACAUGUGCACCCCCUGUAAACACUUUUAUUCAUGCUUUCAUUACUCAUUUUUCUUACAGUGUUAAAGUAGUAAAAAUGGUAUUGAAAAAUUGAAGAGUAGGCAUAUUAAAACUUGCAACAUUAUUUAAGUUUAAAUAUAUUAUUUGUACCUCAUCAACAUUUUUUAUUUUGUUGAGAAAGUCUAAGGUUAAUUGGCAGCAUAUUUUAAUAGUAGAUAGAAUAAUAUCUGUUUUAUAAACAUUGACAUCCUACAUUACAGGUGUGAACCGUGAAAGUCUGAGACAGGUCUCAGAUUUUUUAGAAAGUUUAUUUUUCCAAGUUUGAGGAUGCGCCCCUGAUGCCUCUGCAGGAGGUCCCGACAACACAGGCCCAAGGUGGUCGGGGCCCAGCUUGGUUUUACACACUUUAGGGAGACGUGAGACAUCGAUCAAUAUGUGAAAGAUGUACCUUGGUUCAGUCCAGGAAGGUGAGACAACUUGAAGAGAAGGCCAGACAGGGAGCCUCCAGGUCAUAGGUAGGUAAGACACAAAUAGUUUCAUUCUUUUGAGUUGCCGGUUACCCUCUCCCGAUGAGGCACUCAGAUACACGUUUCUCUUGGUGAGCAGACGGGUGACUUUGGACAGAAUGGGAGGCGGGUUUGCCCUCAGCAGCCCCAGCUUGACUUUUCACUUUAGCUUAGUGAUUUUGGGUCCCCAAGGUUGAUUUUCCUUUCACAAGGUCUAACAUGUUUUCCUAUGAGCAUUAAGUAUUCAUUGGGUAUUUUAUUACACAAGGCACAGAUUUUUAAAAAAUCAUCAACUUCAUGACUAGCUCUAUAGACAUAACAACAUAGAGGUUCAACCAAAUUUGGAAACAUUCCAGAGUUUUGGUUUCUAAUACUUCUUUGUGAUUCUUUAAAAGGUAAAGUAUUUUUUUUCCGUAAAGCAUAGUAACAUCUAAAAUCACCCGUAGAAUGUCCUUUCAUUUUUUUUCUCUAGUUUCCCCAUUUUCUGCAAAGCCUCAUUGAGGAAAUUGACUUUUAAUAUCCUUUUACACGCUUCUGUUUUAGAAAUCUUUGUGGUAAAACAUUGAAUAUUCAUGGUCACAAGUUCUGUUCACAUUCUUUCUUUCUUUGAAUAUUUUUUUCCCAGUGGCCAAUAUUUGAUUCUGUUGUAUUAUGGCUAAAAAGUAGGCAUGGAACAAAAUAAAGACAAGAAGUCUUUGGAAGAAGUGAUCCAGUCACAGUGAAUCAAUUUGCCAUUGGAACAUAUUUUUACAAAGUCACUCUUUUGAAAAUAUUUUGUCAUGAAUUGAAACAGAGUCUGGUAGGUUAUUUUUUUUCCUGGUCUAAAGUGAACAGCAUUUUAGAGAAUGAACCCAGGAUACAACCACAGCACAAGAAAAAAAUAUGAUAAAUAAGUUUACACAUAUGUGUUACCACUGUAACAGAAAACAUGUAAAGAACAUUUAUUUUGAUUUAUAUAUCAGUCUGUAUUGUUUAAUUUUUUUGUGUCAUAAAUGCUCUUAUUUAAAAAACAGGACUAGUUAACAGUGUCAAUUACUAGCAGUUCAUGGUAUAAAUAAUUAAACAAGGAAGUGUUAGAAAAACAUAACAAUGUUUCAAAUACAGCUAUAUUUUAUAGCAGUUUUUGACUUACACAGAAAUUGCAAAAAAGAAAAAUUGCAGAGAUUUCCACUGUAGCGUCAACCUACUUUCUUCUCUUAUUAACAUCUUCUGUCAGUGUGUCUCACGUGGCUUAUUAAUAUCUUACAUAAUGUGUCACAGUUAAUGAACAAAUACUGAUGGACUAUUAUUAACUAAAAUUCAUAUUUCAUUUGGAUUCCCUUAGUUCCAUCUUACCCUGACCCAUCCAGGAUCCCGCAUGACAUGUAGUCAUCACGUAGGUGGCUCCUGGAUGUGACAGCGUGUCUGGCUUUCCAUCUCAUGAUGACCUUGACAGUAUUGAGGAGGAUUGGUCAGGAAUUUUGUAGAAUGUCCCCCAUUGUAAUUAAACAUGGAAUUUUUCUUAUAAUUAGACUGGGGUUCUGGGUCUGGAAGAAGUAGAUCACAGAGGUGAAGUGCUACUCUUGUCACUUCAUUUUCUCAUGGUGAACUGUCGCCUUUGAUGUUCACUUGGAUUGUUCGGCAGAGCUAGUUUGUCAGGUUUCUCCACUGUGAUGUUAUUUUUCCUCCUUGUCCAUACUGCACGUGUUCUUUCGGAACAAGUCACUAUGUGGAGCCCACACUUACAGAGUGAGGAGCUCCACCUUCUUGACGGCUGACUGUCUACCUCAAUUAUUUGGAAUUCUUUUGCAAAGGUGAUUUCUAUUCAACUCCAUUUGCUUAUUCACCUAUGUAUACAAACACAGACACCUAGAUAAUUACCUAAAGCUUUAGAUACUAUUCAGCACUACAGCAUUAUGUUGCACAAUUCAUUCCUGUGUUAGUCAUGGGUAGCUCUUUUUAUUGGCUCCUAUUUUUCUUUCAAUAAAAGAAUUAAUUUUUAUUUAUUUUUAUGACAUAUUUUAAUUUUUUUUGUACAUAUUUACUUUCUGAUACUUCAAGAUUAUCUGGCUCAUAUAUUUACUGUCCCAGUUCUAGUACCAGACAUUUCUUCAAAGAGCCUGAUUCCUUUGAGAAUGGUAGGAAAACUUACAUCUGACUGCUGAAUGAGCACAUUAUAUCUUGUCCCUCCUUAGCAAUGCUAGGAAGUAUACGUGUGCAUCUAACAGACCUAUACACCCCUAAUUAUAAAGGUUUCUGUGUGGAACUGUAUGUAUCUAUAUUAAACCAAAUGUAAGUUUAUGUUGAUGUCUCCACCUCUGAUCUAUCAUAUGAAUCAUUCUAGCCUUCUCCCCUUGCUAAUUUGUAAUCUCCCACUUCAACAGUGAGAGACCUGGUUCCUACCAUCUGCAAGUUAUGUAAGUCAUUGUUUUAUUCCAGAUAAGGAUACUGUGGUUUUACAAUUGUUCACAAUUACUCCUGUUGGAAAGAACUUUAUAAAAUGGAAUCCAGUGAUGAAGUGUAGUUCAUUUGCCUUCAGCCUACAGAGUCUAUUCAUUUUUGAAGUGACUUAGGUCAACACCAUUUUCUCUACACCUUCAGUAAGUUUUUUCAUACAUUUGUGUCUUAGUCCACUUUGUGCUUCUGUAACAGAAUACCUGAGGCUGGGUAAUUUAUAAGUAAAAAAGGUCCAUUUGGCUCACAAUACUGGUGGCUGGAAUGUCCGAGAUUAGGCAGUUGCAUCUGGUGGGGCCUCAGUCUUUUUCACCUCAUGGUGGAAAGUGGAAGGGGAGCAAGGGGUGCACCAGAGAUCACAUGGCAAGAGCGACAGCAGGAGGGAAGCCAAGGAGCCCAGACUCUUGUUAACUCCUACCCCUGCAGGAAUUAAUCCAUUCCUGUGAGAGCAGAACUCACUCAUCCCCAUGGAGGACAUUAACCUAUUCACGAGGAAUCCGUCCUCAUGACCCAAACACCUUUCACUGGGCCCCACCGCCCCACACUGCCACACUGGGGGUCAAAUUUCAACACGAGUUUUUGCAGGGACAAACCACAUCCAAACCAUAGUAAUUUGUAGCAUAGUUAAUUUCUUUUUCACAUGAUGUAUUCUGUGUUGUGAUACUCCACAUCCUGAAUAAUUUUAUUUAAUUUGAAUAGAGUUUGGCUUACCUGUUUGGCUGUAAAAUUCUGCGUGUUUUGACAAAUGCAUAGUGGCAGGUACCCACUAUUAAAGUAUCAUAUGGAAUGCUUCAAACCCCCACUCCAUGGAACCAAUGGCUUCCCAUCUGUGUAGUUUGCCUUCUCCAGAAUCUCAUCAAAUGAAGUCACACUGUGUAUAUUCUCCUCAGACUGUCUUCUUCCACUUAGCAAUGUGCAUGCAAGAUUCACUAAUGUCUUUGUGUGAGUUGGUAGCUUGUUCCUUUCUACGGCUAAAUAGUAUUCCAUUGCAUGAAUGUACCACAAUUUGGUUAUGCAUUUGGGGAGCAAAACCUUCCUCUUCUAACUUUGUUCCAGGGUUGGAGACCUUCAAAUUAACUGACAAUAGAUACAUUAAUAGGAGAGACAAUAUUUGGCUUCUUAUUCCACAAGUAUCAUUGUAGGACAAAAUUCAUCAGAUGGCAGGAUCCAGUUUACAAACAGAUGGCACCAAAAACGAAAGAAGCUCCUGCCCCUCCUAAAGCUGAAGCCAAAGCAAAGGCUUUAAAGGCCAAGAAAGCAGGGUUGAAAUGUAUCCACAGCCCCCCCCCCAGAAAAGAUCUGUACCUCACCCACCUUCCAAUAUCCCUAGACACUGCGACUCUGGAGGCAGCCCAGAUAUCCUGGGAAGAGCGUCCCCCAGAGAAACAAGCUUGACCACCAUGCUAUCAUCAAGUUUCCACUGACCACUGAGUCAGCCAUGAAGAAGAUAGAAGACAACAAUAUGCUUGUGUUCACUGUCGAAGUUAAAGCCAACAAGCACCGGAUCAAACAGACUGUGAAGAAGCUCUGGGACGUGGAUGUGGCCACGGUCAACAUCCUGAUUCGGCCUGACAGAGAGAAGUAGGAAUAUGUUCGACUGGCUCCUGAUUAGGAUGCUUUGGAUGUUGCCAAAAAACUUGGGAUCAUCUAAACUGAUUCCAGCUGGCUGAUUCUAAAUAGAUGUAUAUGUUUUCACCA